CGUCUUUCCAUUUUCACAAGAACAUCAGUAGAUGGCAGUUUGCUAAAGCAGAGUGAAGUGACCCAAUUCUCUGAAUCUCAGUGGAUCCAAGCAAAAGUUGCUCUCCAUACAAAAGCUGAAGAGUCUACACUUCCUUUCCAGCUAAUUUUAGAAGCUACCAUUUUGUCAUCAAAUGCUACUGUUGCUGUAGAUGACAUCAGUAUAUCCUGUGAAUGUGAAAUUUCCUAUAAGUCACUUCGAAGUACCAGCAUACAACAUAAAGUGGCUGAUUGUGACUUUGAAGCAAACAGCUGUGGGUGGUUUGAAGCCAGUGGUGGUGACCAUUUUGACUGGGUGUGGAGCUCCCAAAGUGAUCUUCCAGCUGAAUUAGAGCAACAGGCUCCAACCAGAGAUCACACUCAUGGAACAGCUCAAGGGCAUUUCAUGUUCAUUUUGAAGAGCAGCAACAGCUUGUUUCAAACUGCUAAACUUCAGAGCCCAACUUUCAGCCAGACAGGGCCUGAGUGCACACUGUCAUUCUGGUUUUAUAACUAUGGACUGUCAGUGGG
rnacentral:lncRNA from 1 species